AUAAUUGUUUCUAGCCAUGGUCGACAGAUAUUUUGAAUUAAAUUAAUAUCUGCUUUUAUCAUUUUUAUACCAUCGAAAUUAAAUUUAAGUGGUUGAGAUUUGAAGUAUGUUCUAAGUAGAGACAUGAAAUUUCAAAGCCCUUAUUAUACACGGAAUUAUUUAAGCUUAAAGAUAAGGUAGGGUGCUAGUGAGACAUCUAUUAUAAGUAAAAUAUCUAUUAUUAGAGCUCAAUAGUCUUAUCAGUAAAACAUCUAUUAUAUUUUUCUUUUCAUUAAAGUAAAGUGAUAUGUGAUAAGACAACUUUAAAAGAUGAGUUUCCAAUAAGAUCAGAUUCUACUAAAUACAAGAAAA